rnacentral:rRNA from 1 species
AUAGCGUAUAUUUAAGUUGUUGCGGUUAAAAAGCUCGUAGUUGGAUCUCAGUUCCAGACGGGUGGUCCGCCAAACGGUGGUUACUGCCCGUUCUGAACAGCCAGCCGGUUUCUCUUGAUGAUCUUCACCGGUUGUCUCGGGUGACCGGCAAGUUUACUUUGAAAAAAUUAGAGUGCUCAAAGCAGGCGCGACGCCUGAAUAAUGGUGCAUGGAAUAAUGGAAUAGGACCUCGGUUCUAUUUUGUUGGUCUUAAGAAUCUGAGGUAAUGAUUAAGAGGGACAGACGGGGGCAUUCGUAUUGCGGCGCUAGAGGUGAAAUUCUUGGACCGUCGCAAGACGAACUAAGG